rnacentral:rRNA from 1 species
ACGGAGGGGUGCAGCGUUAUCGGAAUUACUGGGCGUAAAGCGCACGCAGGCGGUUUGUUAAGCAAGAUGUGAAAGCCCCGGGCUCAACCUGGGAACUGCAUUUUGAACUGGCAGACUAGAGUCUUGGAGAGGGGGGUGGAAUUCCAGGUGUAGCGGUGAAAUGCGUAGAGAUCUGGAGGAACAUCAGUGGCGAAGGCGGCCCCUGGCCAAAGCACUGACGCUCAUGUGCGAAAGUGUGGGUAGCGAACAGGAUUAGAUACCCGCGUAGUC